GGAGAGAUGGCUGAGUGGACUAAAGCGUCGGAUGCUAAU
rnacentral:tRNA from 1 species